GUUCUGUUAGAUUAAGCAUCGUAAAUACAAAUGUAUACUGUCCAUUAUUUUUUUUUAAAAUUGUUUAGAAAUAUUUAUGACAGGAAGUAUAGUUAUUGUGCAUUAUGUCAAAGAAAGUGUUACUACUGAGCAUUUUGUCAAUGGUGUCGGGUCAAGGGAUAUUUUACUUGUCGACGAAUACGUCAUAUUGGGGCAAUUACGGAAAGGACUGUGUACCGGCAACACCAAAGGUUGACGCUGCUCUUAGCCAUUAUCCAAAUGUUUAUGAUGUUGGUAAUCUCAGAAUAGAUCUACCGGAUAAUGAAGACGUAUGGGUCGGAUAUUACCAGGUAGUGAGAGUAUUUGAAUAUAUUGGAUGUGUCGAGCAUCGUUACUUGUUUAACUUUGACCCGAACUUUGUCAAAAUAAAAGGCGAUCCAGGACAUUGCUUUCCUGGUUGCAACGAAAGUACAAUCAUCGGCGUGACUAAAACUCGGUGUUACUGUCUUGGGGAUGCAUUCAACGUAACAAGAAACACAGACGCAGGAUGCACAGACAUAUGUAACAAACCUUCUGUUGCAUGCGGCCAAGAUAGAACACCAGUGAAAUACACCUACAUAUCAAUAUACAAAAUCAAUUCACAUGAGCCAUUUGGGGACUUCCAGGUAGCACAGGGUGUAGAAAGAAUGUUCAGAGAGGUGGAUCCUGAUGAAUUCCUGGUUGCUAAUGAAAACGAGAACACUCGUAAGAAAACUGUCUAUGAUAUGAAGCUUUUCAACGCUUUUUUGAUGUCAAGAAAUGAGGAUAGGUUGGUUCAGUUUAUUCCACCCGAGGAGCUCAACAAUCAUCUCUGCAAUUUCAUUUUGGCAGUAACAAAAAAGGAUGGGUCAGAGUAUGAGCCAACGACACUCAGGGGCUUUAUAGGGUCAGUAGAUAGACACCUCAGGUCUUUGGACAGUAAGAUAUCAAUAUUUAAGGACAUAGAGUUUGCUAAGACAAGAGCUGUUUUAAAAAGAAAACAACAGGAAUUGAAGAAAAAUGGUCUCGGAAAUAAACCAAAAGCAGCUGAGGCACUUGACGAAGACCUAAUUACAAAAAUGCAUGAGGCUGAUACCCUUGGAACAAAAAAUCCAAGAGCAUUACUUCAUUCAAUGUGGUUAGUCUGCACAUCUUAUUUUGGGAUGCGUACGGGCAAAGAAAUUCAUCAGUUGUGUUGGGGUGAUGUAAAGCUAGGACUUGAUGAAGCUAGCGGGUGCGAAUACAUUGUGCUUGAUACAGAGCGUCAAACUAAGACUAGGACUGGCGCAAAUCCAAGAGAUAUAAGGGCUGUGAAACCCCGGGCAUAUGAGAACCCUGAAAAUCCAGAGAGGGACCCGGUACACAUCUAUAAGCUAUAUGCCAAAAAGAGACCUGCUGAAAUGUGUAAAGACGACAGCCCGUUUUUUCUUACACCUGGAACCCAUAAGUGUUGGUACAAGAAGUCUGCAAUGGGCAUAAAUUCAAUUUACAACAUCAUGAAUAAAAUAAAGGCAGAGGCUAGCAUUGAAAACCCUAGGAUCACCCCUUAUAGUUCCAGGAAAAGGCUGAUUCAGAAGCUUAGUGAUGAUGGCAUAAAAAUCUUUUAUGAAAACAAAGACACUUUUAUACAUUUACAGCCAGUUCUAUUUUCGGAACGUCAACGCAUUCGUGGGACAAGGAUUGCCUACAUUUAGAUACACUUGUUCCAAAAACGUUCUACUGGAAUACAUGCGCGUUUUCUCUCAAAGCAAUGUGCUUCAAUGCGGGUCGCGUUGAGAACAUACGCUGCAAAGGUGUGCCAGAAUAUUGUUCAUGGAUAGAUGCCGCAAAUACGUGUUUUCACAAUGGACAAUUCCCAACAUUAUAUUCAAAUUCAAAGGAUCUUAUCAAAGGAACUG
rnacentral:misc_RNA from 1 species